rnacentral:ncRNA from 2 species
GCUGUCAGUGGAGAUGGCAUACCUCCCUUAACCGCCGGUCACGGCUGAUGAUGCCUACGCAAGG